CGCUGGCGGCGUGCUUAACACAUGCAAGUCGAACGGAAAGGCCCUGCUUUUGUGGGGUGCUCGAGUGGCGAACGGGUGAGUAACACGUGAGUAACCUGCCCUUGACUUUGGGAUAACUUCAGGAAACUGGGGCUAAUACCGGAUAGGAGCUCCUGCUGCAUGGUGGGGGUUGGAAAGUUUCGGCGGUUGGGGAUGGACUCGCGGCUUAUCAGCUUGUUGGUGGGGUAGUGGCUUACCAAGGCUUUGACGGGUAGCCGGCCUGAGAGGGUGACCGGCCACAUUGGGACUGAGAUACGGCCCAGACUCCUACGGGAGGCAGCAGUGGGGAAUAUUGCACAAUGGGCGGAAGCCUGAUGCAGCAACGCCGCGUGCGGGAUGACGGCCUUCGGGUUGUAAACCGCUUUCGCCUGUGACGAAGCGUGAGUGACGGUAAUGGGUAAAGAAGCACCGGCUAACUACGUGCCAGCAGCCGCGGUGAUACGUAGGGUGCGAGCGUUGUCCGGAUUUAUUGGGCGUAAAGGGCUCGUAGGUGGUUGAUCGCGUCGGAAGUGUAAUCUUGGGGCUUAACCCUGAGCGUGCUUUCGAUACGGGUUGACUUGAGGAAGGUAGGGGAGAAUGGAAUUCCUGGUGGAGCGGUGGAAUGCGCAGAUAUCAGGAGGAACACCAGUGGCGAAGGCGGUUCUCUGGGCCUUUCCUGACGCUGAGGAGCGAAAGCGUGGGGAGCGAACAGGCUUAGAUACCCUGGUAGUUCACGCUGUAAACGGUGGGUACUAGGUGUGGGGUCCAUUCCACGGGUUCCGUGCCGUAGCUAACGCUUUAAGUACCCCGCCUGGGGAGUACGGCCGCAAGGCUAAAACUCAAAGGAAUUGACGGGGCCCCGCACAAGCGGCGGAGCAUGCGGAUUAAUUCGAUGCAACGCGUAGAACCUUACCUGGGUUUGACAUGGAUCGGGAGUGCUCAGAGAUGGGUGUGCCUCUUUUGGGGUCGGUUCACAGGUGGUGCGUGGCUGUCGUCAGCUCGUGUCGUGAGAUGUUGGGUUAAGUCCCGCAACGAGCGCAACCCUUGUUCACUGUUGCCAGCACGUUAUGGUGGGGACUCAGUGGAGACCGCCGGGGUCAACUCGGAGGAAGGUGGGGAUGACGUCAAGUCAUCAUGCCCCUUAUGUCCAGGGCUUCACGCAUGCUACAAUGGCUGGUACAGAGAGUGGCGAGCCUGUGAGGGUGAGCGAAUCUCGGAAAGCCGGUCUCAGUUCGGAUUGGGGUCUGCAACUCGACCUCAUGAAGUCGGAGUCGCUAGUAAUCGCAGAUCAGCAACGCUGCGGUGAAUACGUUCCCGGGGCUUGUACACACCGCCCGUCAAGUCAUGAAAGUUGGUAACACCCGAAGCCGGUGGCCUAACCGUUGUGGGGGAGCCGUCGAAGGUGGGACUGG
rnacentral:rRNA from 1 species